UACGUAGGGUGCGAGCGUUGCCCGGAUUUAUUGGGCGUAAAGGGCGCGUAGGCGGCUUGGCAAGUGGAUGGUGAAAUCCCUCGGCUUAACCGAGGAACUGCCGUCCAAACUGCUUUGCUUGAGGCCGGGAGAGGCGAGUGGAAUUCCCAGUGUAGCGGUGAAAUGCGUAGAUAUUGGGAGGAACACCAGUGGCGAAGGCGGCUCGCUGGACCGGUUCUGACGCUGAUGCGCGAAAGCGUGGGGAGCAAACGGG
rnacentral:rRNA from 1 species